rnacentral:lncRNA from 1 species
GGAGCGGCGGCGGCGGCAGCAGCAGCGACGGGAACGUGGGGGAAGAAGGGAGGGAAGGAACUCACCCGUCUGAACGCGGGGCACAGGGGGGAAAGCCCAGAGCAGUAAAAAGCUACUGUAGAGCUAUGGGGUUAUAUGGAAGGGGUGAGGGGAAAUACGGAGGAGGAGAGCGUAGGGGAGAGGCGAGAAGUGAGGUGUUGUGGUAGGGUUGUGACUUGUGGCAGGACGUGACCCAGCCUUCAGAUGACUGCCAUAGUCAGGAAUGGUGUUUUCCCUGCAUCCGAUGUGGGGCUUGAGGCUGGACGGCUCUGGGGGCUUUGUUUGGACGGGGAGAGUGGGCUGAACACCCCCGGAGGCCUCAAGAGGGGCCUUGAGUUAUCCCCUCUCGCACACGGAGCUCCCGUGCCUGCCCAGCCCCAGACCUCUGUUCCAAGUUGAAAUGUGGUAAUUACAGCUUAACUUGUGGUAAUAUACUGCUAAUGUUGGGCCUUCUGUGGCUUUCAGGUGUGUUGGCAGCUCAAGGUGAGCGUUAUUUGGGAGCCCGGCGGUUGAGGGGAGUUGCUAAUGUACCUGAAGUGCACCUGCAGCAUCUGGUGUUCCUCGUUGACUGCCGUGUGGGAAGCAUUUAAAGGAUAUUUACAAAUGCUGCUUGUGUCUGAAAGCAAAGUGGUACUGUAUGUUGUUUAGGCGAAAGCAUUUGGUCAGUCUGUCUUCUGUAAUCUCAGCUUUUGAAGAUGCAUCUGGGUAUCUGAACUACUCACAUGUAAAGCGUAUGGAGUUCAAUGGCUCUGUACAUCUGUGUAUCAUUGCAGUGGAUGGGGAUGCAGACAAGCCUCAUAAUGGGAAUAUAGAUCUAGGAAGCCUGGAUGAAAAAGAUGGAAUCUGUUUGAUAUGCUGCCAGUGCAAGACUGUUGUUUGCCUGCUUUCAUUAAAGGUGAGGGAAGGGAGAACUGCUGUGAAAAAUAUUAGUGUCCGUGUGAGCCUUCUUCCCUGCUGCUCCUGCUGAGAAGGUAGAGUUGUUUAUUCACCUGCUUGAGUGUAGACCUGUAGAAUGUUUAAUUUCUGACUCACAGGAGGUGUC